rnacentral:rRNA from 1 species
GAUGAACGCUGGCGGCGUGCCUAAUACAUGCAAGUCGAGCGAACAUACGAGGAGCUUGCUCUUCGGACGUUAGCGGCGGACGGGUGAGUAACACGUGGGUAACCUACCUGUAAGACGGGGAUAACUCCGGGAAACCGGGGCUAAUACCGGAUAAUAUCUUCAUCCGCAUGGUUCAAUGGUGAAAGGCGGCUCUACUUUCACUUAGCGGUUGAGCCGCGGCGCAUUAGCUAGUUGGUAAAGGAACGGCUUAACCAGGCGACGGUGCGUAAGCGGACCGGGAGGGGGGACGGCCACACUGGGAACGGGACACCGGCCAGACCUCCUCGGGGAGGCACAGGUGGGGAUCUUCCGGAAUGGGGGAAAAGCUGGCGGGAGAACGGCGGGUGGGGGGAUGAAGGCUUCCGGAUGGAAAGCUCUUGUGAUAGGGAAGAAAAAGAAGCGUAAGAAAAGAGCGGUGCCUUGACGGUACCUAAUCAGAAAGCCACGGCUAACUACGUG